CAGACGGAGGCGCUCAUAAGCCGGUCGAUGAAAACGAAGCCUACCCAAGCGCGUGCUCUCAAUCGAACCGCUGGACGCAGUCAGGUCGUUCACGCAACCCGGAGAUUUCAGGUUGAUCAAGCAGCCAGACAUCUAGUAUAAGGAAACCUCGAGCGCACAUUCAACAUGGAGUCGGAAAUGUCCGUGAUGUCCGAGAUGGACCAAAGCGUGCACCAGCCGGCUGCUGUCGCAGCACCCUGGUGCAGUGCUUCGUGCGUGGAACCGAGACGUUCCAGGAGUACGUGGCUCGUCUUUCGCCUUUACAGCAGUGGCCUAGUGCUCGGCCGGCCUGCCCCUGUUUCCUCGUCGCGACCAGGUGCGACUUGGUGGUGGCGGCGUAGGACGUGGCCGUCGCAAGCAACUUACCAGCUGCACUGAAGAUUCGGAAUACGCAUCGACACAGGGAUAGCGACGGCUAUCAUGGGCGCCCCCAGCAACGACGCACAUUAUUCAGACGGACAGA